UCGUUUGGCGUAGACGCGAAACCUGGUGAUCUAAACCUGUCCAGGAUGAAGCUGUGGUAAGACACAGUGGAGGUCCUAACCCACCGCCGUUGAAAAGUUGGGGGAUGAGGUAGGUUUAGGGGUGAAAAGCCAAUCGAACCAGGAGAUAGCUCGUUCUCUCCGAAAUGCAUCUAGGUGCAGCCUUGAGUGUUCAAUUAUGGGGGUAGAGCACUGAAUGAUCUAGGGGGCAUAUUGCUUACUGAAAUCAAUCAAACUCCAAAUACCAUAAUUUAUAGCUCAGGAGUGAGACCAUGGGAGUUAACUUCCAUUGUCAAAAGGGAAACAACCCAGACCACCAGCUAAGGUCCCUAAUUAUAACUAAGUGGGAAAGGAGGUGGAGAUUCACAAACAACUAGGAGGUUGGCUUAGAAGCAGCCAUACCUUUAAAGAGUGCGUAAUAGCUCACUAGUCGAGAGUCUCUGCGCCGACAAUGUAACGGGGCUAAGUUAUAAACCGAAGCUGUGGAAUCCUUAUGGAUUGGUAGGAGAGCGUUCUGUAGGCUGUUGAAGAAGAAGGGUAACCAACUUUGGAGGUAUCAGAAGUGAGAAUGCAGGAAUAAGUAGCGAGAAAGGGGGCGAGAAUCCCCCUCGCCGGAAGACCAAGGUUUUCAGGGUAAAGCUUGUCUUCCCUGAGUAAGCCGGGACCUAAGCCCAGGCUAUAAUGCGUAGGCGAAUGGAAAACAGAUUAAUAUUUCUGUGCCAGUCAUUUAUUGUGAUGGAGGGACGCAGAAGGGUAUGUGCGCGGACGAUCGGUUGUGUCCGUAGAAGUAUGUAGGGUGACUUAGUAGGUAAAUCCAUUAAGUUAUAUCUGAGGUAUGAUAUACAGUCGUAAGAUGAAUGUACAAAUCCCACGCUGCCAAGAAAAACUUCUAACGUUAAUAUAUGACUGCCCGUACUGUAAACCGACACAGGUGGUCAGGAUGAGAAAUCUAAGGCGGACAGGCUAACUCUCGUUAAGGAACUCUGCAAAAUAACCUCGUAACUUCGGGAGAAGAGGAGCCCUUGUGUGUGAGUAUACACGCGAUACAAAGCGCACGAGGGUCGCAGUGAAGAGGCUCAAGCAACUGUUUAACAAAAACACAGGUCUAUGCUAAGCUGUAAGGCGAUGUAUAUGGGCUGACACCUGCCCAGUGCUGGAAGGUUAAGAGGAGGAGUGAGAGCUCCGAAUUGAAGCCCCAGUGAACGGCGGCCGUAACUAUAACGGUCCUAAGGUAGCGAAAUUCCUUGUCGGGUAAGUUCCGACCUGCACGAAUGGUGUAAUGAUUUGAGCGCUGUCUUGACGGGAGGCCUGGUGAAAUUGUAUUACCGGUGAAGAUACCGGUUACCUACAGUAGGACGGAAAGACCCCAUGGAGCUUUACUGUAGCUUGGUAUUGGGUUUUGGCAUUGCAUGUAUAGGAUAGUUGGGAGACUAUGAUGGUAUGGCGCUAGCUGUAUCGGAGUCAUCGGUGGAAUACCAACCAUUCAAUGCUGAAAUUCUAAUCUGUGGUUUGUCGCCACGGAGACAGUGCUAGGUGGGCAGUUUGACUGGGGCGGUCGCCUCCGAAAGAGUAACGGAGGCGUUCAAAGGUUCUCUCAGGUUGGAUGGAAAUCAACCAUAGAGUGCAAUGGCAUAAGAGAGCUUGACUGCAAGACUGACGGGUCGAGCAGAUGCGAAAGCAGGACAUAGUGAUCCGGCGAUUCCGAAUGGAAGGGUCGUCGCUCAACGGAUAAAAGCUACCCUGGGGAUAACAGGCUGAUCCUACCCGAGAGUCCAUAUCGACGGUAGGGUUUGGCACCUCGAUGUCGGCUCAUCGCAUCCUGGGGCUGGAGAAGGUCCCAAGGGUUGGGCUGUUCGCCCAUUAAAGCGGUACGUGAGCUGGGUUCAGAACGUCGUGAGACAGUUCGGUCCCUAUCCACUGUAGGCGUUAGAAUAUUGAGAAGACCUGUCCUUAGUACGAGAGGACCGGGAUGGACAAACCUCUGAUGUACCAGUUGUCACGCCAGUGGCACAGCUGGGUAGUCACGUUUGGAAUAGAUAAUCGCUGAAAGCAUCUAAGCGAGAAACUAACUUCAAGAUAAGUAUUCU
rnacentral:rRNA from 1 species